rnacentral:piRNA from 1 species
UCCUCCUGAGCUGCUGCUGUCAGCACACUGC